GUCCACGCCCUAAACGAUGUCGACUAGUUGUUGGGAAGGAAACUUCCUUAGUAACGAAGCUAACGCGUGAAGUCGACCGCCUGGGGAGUACGGCCGCAAGGUUAAACUCAAAGGAAUUGACGGGGACCCGCACAAGCGGUGGAUUAUGUGGAUUAAUUCGAUGCAACGCGAAAACCUUACCUACCCUUGACAUGUCCGGAACCCUGCCGAGAGGUGGGGGUGCCCGAAAGGGAGCCGGAACACAGGUGCUGCAUGGCUGUCGU
rnacentral:rRNA from 1 species